rnacentral:lncRNA from 7 species
UUGUCAGGCAUCUCAUCACCGCAUCGUGCCGUGUGCUGCAACCGCCAUCCCGGGAUCAGUGGGGUCGUUACGCUUUCUUGGCACCAACUAGAUGGUUUUCUAGGGUAUAAAGUCAGUCGGGGUCGCGCCCGAUUUGCCCAACAAACUGGAGGCUCGAGCAACCCCUUUGUCCAGCGCCACUGCCACCACAAAAUGAAGUCAGAGAGAGAGAACCAAAGCCAUCACACCCUCAUCCCACGUCCGCUGACGUUCGGUGCCCGAGGAGGAGUCACAGACGUUUGCCAAUAAUCGUAGGACACGUCCAAGCCAACCAUCGGUCGCGAAGGUCAUUGGAGGUUCAUGAAUUGCUCGUGGGAGUUGGAUUGUUCCGCGGCGCCGCCCCUCGCCGCGGGCUACCUUCUCUACCGUGCUAUAGCUAGUAAGUCCUCUACCAGAACGUUCGUCGUGUCUCGGGCAUCACAUAGGACAGUUCAUAGCAUAGAUUGGGGUCGGGAGCAUCGUAAUGGGUUUGCUCUGGCCAUGGCCGUGGAGAUCGGAGGGGGGCAAGAUUGUAUGCGUAGUUGAUCUAAUCCUAAAUGGCUA